rnacentral:pre_miRNA from 1 species
UACGUACUCCUUCCGUUCGGAAAUACUUGUCCGAAAAAUAGAUGUAUCUAAAUGUAUUUUAAUUUUAGAUAUAUUUAUUUAUAUUCAUUUUCACGAUAAGUAUUUCUGGACGGAGGGAGUGUCUA